rnacentral:rRNA from 1 species
CCCUUAGAUGUUCUCGGCAGCACGCGCGCUACAAUGGUCUUCGCAAACGGAUGCAUUCUCGAAGGAGAAUGCCAAUCUUGGAAUCUAUGCCUUGGUCGGGACAGUUGCUUGCAAUUUUUCGACUCGAACCAGGAAUUCCUUGUAAUCGUGAUUCAUCACAUCACGAUGAAUACGUCCCUGCCCUUUGUACACACCGCCCGUCGCUCCUACCGAUCGAAGAGUUAGGUGAAUUGUUUUGAUCGAUAAGAUUUGACUAUGGUCAACUCUCGUUGUGAAAUUCUGUGAAUCUGACUGUUUAGAGGAAGGAAAAGUCGUAACA